rnacentral:rRNA from 1 species
CUACGGGAGGCAGCAGCUAAGAAUCUUGCGCAAUGGGCGAAAGCCUGACGCAGCAAUUCCGCGUGGGGGACGAAGGCCCUCGGGUCGUAAACCCCUUUUGCGAGGGAAGAAGUUCUGACGGUACCUCGCGAAUAAGACACGGCUAACUACGUGCCAGCAGCCGCGGUAAUACGUAGGUGUCGAGCGUUGUUCGGAUUUAUUGGGCGUAAAGAGCCCGCAGGCGGCUUGCCAAGUUCGAGGUGAAAUCUCCCGGCUCAACCGGGAGGGCGCCUCGAAAACUGGCAGGCUUGAGGCAGGGAGAGGGAUGUGGAAUUCCCGGUGUAGUGGUGAAAUGCGUAGAUAUCGGGAGGAACACCAGUGGCGAAGGCGGCAUCCUGGCCCUGUCCUGACGCUCAGGGGCGAAAGCGUGGGGAGCAAACCGGAUUAGAAACCCCGGUAGUCC